AAUCCCGAAGAGAUUUGGGAGUGCUCGAAAGAGAACCUGCACACAGGUGCUGCAUGGCUGUCGUCAGCUCGUGUCGUGAGAUGUUGGGUUAAGUCCCGCAACGAGCGCAACCCUUGCCAUUAGUUGCUACGAAAGGGCACUCUAAUGGGACUGCCGGUGACAAACCGGAGGAAGUGGGGAUGACGUCAAGUCCUCAUGGCCCUUAUAGGUGGGCUACACACGUCAUACAAUGGCCGGUACAGAGGGUAGCCAACCCGCGAGGGGGAGCCAAUCCCACAAAGCCGGUCGUAGUCCGGAUCGCAGUCUGCAACUCGACUGCGUGAAGUCGGAAUCGCUAGUAAUCGCGGAUCAGCAUGUCGCGGUGAAUACGUUCCCGGGCCUU
rnacentral:rRNA from 1 species